CGGGAAUUAUUGGGCGUAAAGCGCGCGUAGGCGGUUUUUUAAGUCUGAUGUGAAAGCCCACGGCUCAACCGUGGAGGGUCAUUGGAAACUGGAAAACUUGAGUGCAGAAGAGGAAAGUGGAAUUCCAUGUGUAGCGGUGAAAUGCGCAGAGAUAUGGAGGAACACCAGUGGCGAAGGCGACUUUCUGGUCUGUAACUGACGCUGAUGUGCGAAAGCGUGGGGAUCAAACAGGAUUAGAUACCCUGGUAGUCCACGCCGUAAACGAUGAGUGCUAAGUGUUAGGGGGUUUCCGCCCCUUAGUGCUGCAGCUAACGCAUUAAGCACUCCGCCGUGGGGAGUACGACCGCAGUCG
rnacentral:rRNA from 1 species